AUGUCCUUAUUGGUGCUGCUGCUGUUGCUGUGGUUGUCGGAGGUGUUGCUGCCGCAUCUGGCGGAGCUGCAGUCCGAGAAGGUCAAGGAUAAGAUCAUCCUCGAUGGGAACGACAUUGAGCUUGUCUCCCGCUCUGUCGCCCUCAUCAACUAG
rnacentral:rRNA from 1 species